rnacentral:rRNA from 1 species
UCGCCCUUAGUUGCCAUCAUUUAGUUGGGCACUCUAAGGGGACUGCCGGUGAUAAGCCGGAGGAAGGUGGGGAUGACGUCAAGUCCUCAUGGCCCUUACGGGCUGGGCUACACACGUGCUACAAUGGCGGUGACAGAGGGAUGCAAAGGGGCGACCCUUCGCAAAUCUCAAAAAUCCGUCUCAGUUCGGAUUGGGGUCUGCAACUCGACCCCAUGAAGUUGGAAUCGCUAGUAAUCGCAGAUCAGCACGCUGCGGUGAAUACGUUCCGGGGCCUU